rnacentral:tRNA from 1 species
GCCAUUUUCUAAGGGUAU